CUACUCUUGUGAUGUCCAGCACCGGGCUUUGAUCACCCUAAGAACAUGGUGCCUCACCCCAAGACCUUUGAUUCCAGGAGGUGUAG
ensembl:snoRNA